AAGUAAAAGUCGUAACAAGGUUUCCGUAGGUGAACCUGCGGAAGGAUCAUUAUUGAAUAAACCUGAUGUGGUUGUAGCUGGUUCUCUAGGGAGCAUGUGCACGCCCGUCAUCUUUAUAUUUCCACCUGUGCACCUUUUGUAGACCCAGAAGAUUUCAGAUUGAAGUCAUUUGGGCCUAUGUUUAUCAUAUACCCCAUAGUAUGUAAUUGAAUGUAAUAGUGGGCUUUUAUGCCUAUAAAAACUAUACAACUUUCAGCAACGGAUCUCUUGGCUCUCGCAUCGAUGAAGAACGCAGCGAAAUGCGAUAAGUAAUGUGAAUUGCAGAAUUCAGUGAAUCAUCGAAUCUUUGAACGCACCUUGCGCUCCUUGGUAUUCCGAGGAGCAUGCCUGUUUGAGUGUCAUUAAAUUCUCAACCUCUACUAGUUUUAGUAGAUGGCUUGGAUUUGGGAUUGCAGGCUUUCACAAGUCAGCUCUCCUUAAAUGUAUUAGCCGGUGCUCUCUAACCGUCUAUUGGUGUGAUAAUUAUCUACGCCGUGGACUAUUAGAAAUUAGUGCGCUGCUUAUAAUCGUCCUUUGGACAAUAUUUAUGACAUUUUUGACCUCAAAUCAGGUAGGACUACCCGCUGAACUUAAGCAUAUC
rnacentral:rRNA from 1 species